rnacentral:rRNA from 1 species
CCUACGGGGGGCAGCAGUGGGGAAUAUUGGGCAAUGGGCGCAAGCCUGACCCAGCAACGCCGCGUGAAGGAAGAAGGCUUUCGGGUUGUAAACUUCUUUUCUCAGGGACGAAGCAAGUGACGGUACCUGAGGAAUAAGCCACGGCUAACUACGUGCCAGCAGCCGCGGUAAUACGUAGGUGGCAAGCGUUAUCCGGAUUUACUGGGUGUAAAGGGCGUGUAGGCGGGGACGCAAGUCAGAUGUGAAAACCACGGGCUCAACCUGUGGCCUGCAUUUGAAACUGUGUUUCUUGAGUACUGGAGAGGCAGACGGAAUUCCUAGUGUAGCGGUGAAAUGCGUAGAUAUUAGGAGGAACACCAGUGGCGAAGGCGGUCUGCUGGACAGUAACUGACGUUGAGGCUCGAAAGCGUGGGGAGCAAACAGGAUUAGAUACCCCUGUAGUC